rnacentral:rRNA from 1 species
GAUGAACGCUGGCGGCGUGCCUAAUACAUGCAAGUCGAGCGAACGGACGAGAAGCUUGCUUUUCUGAUGUUAGCGGCGGACGGGUGAGUAACACGUGGAUAACCUACCUAUAAGACUGGGAUAACUUCGGGAAACCGGAGCUAAUACCGGAUAAUAUUUUGAACCGCAUGGUUCAAAAGUGAAAGACGGUCUUGCUGUCACUUAUAGAUGGAUCCGCGCUGCAUUAGCUAGUUGGUAAGGUAACGGCUUACCAAGGCAACGAUGCAUAGCCGACCUGAGAGGGUGAUCGGCCACACUGGAACUGAGACACGGUCCAGACUCCUACGGGAGGCAGAAGUAGGGAAUCUUCCGAAAUGGGCGAAAGCCUGACGGAGAAACGCCGCGUGAGGGAUGAAGGUCUUCGGAUCGUAAAACUCUGUUAUUAGGGAAGAACAUAUGUGUAAGUAACUGUGCAAAUCUUGACGGUACCUAAUCAGAAAGCCACGGCUAACUACGUG